CCUACGGGCGGCAGCAGUGAGGAAUAUUGGUCAAUGGACGAGAGUCUGAACCAGCCAAGUCGCGUGAAGGAUGAAUGCCCUAUGGGUUGUAAACUUCUUUUGUAAGGAAAUAAAACGAGGCACGUGUGCCUGUUUGCAUGUACUUUAUGAAUAAGCAUCGGCUAACUCCGUGCCAGCAGCCGCGGUAAUACGGAGGAUCCGAGCGUUAUCCGGAUUUAUUGGGUUUAAAGGGAGCGGAGAUGGGUUGUUAAGUCAGUUGUGAAAGUUGGCGGCUCAACCGUAGAAUUGCAAUUGAGACUGGCAGUCUUGAGUACAGGAGAGGUAGGCGGAAUUCGUGGUGUAGCGGUGAAAUGCUUAGAUAUCACGAAGAACCCCGAUUGCGAAGGCAGCUUACUAGACUGUGACUGACAUUGAUGCUCGAAAGCGUGGGUAUCAAACAGGAUUAGAUACCCGAGUAGUC
rnacentral:rRNA from 1 species